AUUGAACGCUGGCGGCAUGCCUUACACAUGCAAGUCGAACGGCAGCACGGGGCAACCUGGUGGCGAGUGGCGAACGGGUGAGUAAUGCAUCGGAACGUACCUUUCAGUGGGGGAUAACGUAGCGAAAGUUACGCUAAUACCGCAUAUUCUGUGAGCAGGAAAGCAGGGGAUCGCAAGACCUUGCGCUGAUCGAGCGGCCGAUGUCAGAUUAGGUAGUUGGUGGGGUAAAGGCUCACCAAGCCAACGAUCUGUAGCUGGUCUGAGAGGACGACCAGCCAGACUGGGACUGAGACACGGCCCAGACUCCUACGGGAGGCAGCAGUGGGGAAUGUUGGACAAUGGGGGCAACCCUGAUCCAGCCAUGCCGCGUGAGUGAAGAAGGCCUUCGGGUUGUAAAGCUCUUUCGGCCGGGAAGAAAUCGCACGGGUUAAUACCCUGUGCGGACGACGGUACCGGCAUAAGAAGCACCGGCUAACUACGUGCCAGCCGCCGCGGUAACAC
rnacentral:rRNA from 1 species